AUUGAACGCUGGCGGCAUGCCUUACACAUGCAAGUCGAACGGCAGCACGGGAGCAAUCCUGGUGGCGAGUGGCGAACGGGUGAGUAAUACAUCGGAACGUGCCCAGUAGUGGGGGAUAACCCGGCGAAAGCCGGACUAAUACCGCAUACGACCUACGGGUGAAAGCAGGGGAUCGCAAGACCUUGCGCUAUCGGAGCGGCCGAUGUCAGAUUAGCUUGUUGGCGGGGAAAAGCCCACCAAGGCGACGAUCUGUAGCUGGUCUGAGAGGACGACCAGCCACACUGGGACUGAGUACACGGCCCAGACUCCUACGGGAGGCAGCAGUGGGGAAUUUUGGACAAUGGGCGCAAGCCUGAUCCAGCCAUGCCGCGUGCGGGAAGAAGGCCUCGGUGUAA
rnacentral:rRNA from 1 species